GGUGGAAUUGCUGGGUUACAUGAUAUUCUAGAUUCAACUUUUUGAGUAAUUGCCAGACUAUUUUCCAAAGUGACUCUACCAUUUUACUUUCCCACCAGCACU
rnacentral:pre_miRNA from 1 species